GCGAUUCUUCUGCCUCAGCCUCCCAAGUAGCUGGGACCACAGACACUGUGGGAGGCUUGAGGCCCAUGACAUCAAUUUAGGCAUCCGGAGAAGAGUUGCCCUUAUGGACAUGUUUCAGAGGUGUGCGGUCUCUUGUAAGAAGCCAUCCCAGUGUCUCAGUGAGACCUGCUUGGUCUUUCAGCUGGUAGGUGAAGCUGAAAUUCGAGGGAGAUUGGGUGAAGUUAGAGGCCAUGAGUGGGCUCACACCCAGCACUGACUACAGCAGACAGGCUGGAGUACAACGGCAUGAUGAUCUUGGCUCCCUGCAACCUCCGCCUCCCAGGUUCAAGCAAUUC
rnacentral:lncRNA from 10 species